rnacentral:misc_RNA from 1 species
UUAAGUUCAGCGGGUAUUCCUACCUGAUCUGAGGUCAACCUUGGUAAAGUUGGGGGUUUUACGGCAUGACCGCACCGCUCUCCGCCUGCGAGGUGGUAUGUUACUACGCAGAGGAGGCUACGGCGUGGUCGCCACUCCAUUUCGGGGCCGGCCCUCCGUCAGACGGCAGGCCGAUCCCCAACACCGCAUCCGACAAGAAG